UGCCCAUUGCACUGUCAGGAUGCCGUGCUCAGGUCUGAAGCAGGUUUGAGGCCUGCCAACAGCAGUAUCCCAUCCUGGGAACCCAUGCUGUGACCUCCUAUUCUGUGACCUCAAUCAUCAGUCUCCCCUGCAUUUGGGGUGGCCCAGACAAAGGGAAACAUCGGCUGUUCCAGUCCUGUCCUCCUGGUGUCAUGUGGUGUCCAGGGCCCGCAAGUGCAAGACAAGGAGACAAGCCUGUUGCCGCAUGUGGGGUCAUCCAGGUCCUUCAGAAUUCCUUUCCUGUGACUUCCAGACUUGGCCCGUGUCACAUCCUUAUCUACUUGUGCUCCACUGGCAAGCCCUGCAGUUUUUGGCCUCUGUAGCAGCAGUGAAGUCUCUUCAUUUCUUGCAACCCCACUGGCACCUAAUCCUCUGGGCUACUGUUCCAACCUCUGCAGAAUGGAAUGUACCCUCCUUAGUGGAUUCCACUGACGGGGAAAUCUCCACAACCCCUGAGCCACGUGGAAAAUGGUGAGUGUGGAGGCCAUCUGGACAGGAUGAAGGCAGCAGCCAUUCAAACCUGCUGUGCUGGCUCAGAAACUCCCUAGGCAAUGUCUUCUCUAUGUCUUAGCUCGGUCGCCAUGACGUUUCAACAUUGCCAGGGCCUCGGCCUAGAGCCUCUUAGGCCUCCCAGAUGGGGCCCUUCUGCGCCUGUUCUCCACCCACUUGUACUCUGCAGUUGUGGAAGAGGCAGAUACACUCCUGGGACGGCCUCCCUUGGUUUCAGCCCUCCAAGGUCAUACUCCAUGUUGCUGCUGUCAUCCUGGUCUUUUAUCUGAAGUUUAGCUGGAGCUCCAAACCAGGACAGUUCUCAGACCAAAGAUGUCAUCUUACUAAAGUCUGUUUCAUCUUGUAUGAAGAGGAAGAAACAAACUGCUCUUAGGCAAGAUGUCAAGGAGUCAGCCCUUGAAACUAUCUCCAGGCUAGCUGGUAAGGUGCUGUGCUCAGAUUUGAACCAGUGGCGUUUGGAGGGUGGCACGUGUCUGAAGGUUCAAGUGUCCCGAUGUGUGUUACAGAUGGUGGAGACAGAAGGGUUAGGGGAAGGGAGCACUUGACCCUCAUCCUUCUCUGCUGCCCCUGAGAGGCUGCAGGCGGUAUG
rnacentral:lncRNA from 1 species